AACGCGAAGAACCUUACCAGGAUUCGACAUGCCCUCUAUGGAUCUCCGAAAAGAGAUCCUUCACUUCGGGUGGGAGGAGCACAGGUGCUGCAUGGCUGUCGUCAGCUCGUGUCGUGAGAUGUUGGGUUAAGUCCCGCAACGAGCGCAACCCUCGUCUUCUGUUGCUAACAGGUUAGGCUGAGCACUCUGAAGAAACUGCCGGUGAUAAGCCGGAGGAAGGUGGGGAUGACGUCAAGUCCUCAUGGCCCUUACAUCCUGGGCUACACACGUGUUACAAUGGUGGUGACAAUGGGCAGCGAACCCGCAAGGGGGAGCCAAUCUCAAAAAGCCACCUCAGUUCGGAUUGCACUCUGCAACUCGAGUGCAUGAAGCUGGAAUCGCUAGUAAUCGCGGAUCAGCACGCCGCGGUGAAUACGUUCCCGGGCCUUGUACACACCGUAGAGAC
rnacentral:rRNA from 1 species